UGGGGAAUUUUGGACAAUGGGCGCAAGCCUGAUCCAGCCAUUCCGCGUGCAGGAUGAAGGCCCUCGGGUUGUAAACUGCUUUUGUACGGAACGAAACGGCGCUCUCUAAUACAGAGCGCUAAUGACGGUACCGUAAGAAUAAGCACCGGCUAACUACGUGCCAGCAGCCGCGGUAAUACGUAGGGUGCAAGCGUUAAUCGGAAUUACUGGGCGUAAAGCGUGCGCAGGCGGUGAUGUAAGACAGAUGUGAAAUCCCCGGGCUCAACCUGGGAACUGCAUUUGUGACUGCAUCGCUGGAGUGCGGCAGAGGGGGAUGGAAUUCCGCGUGUAGCAGUGAAAUGCGUAGAUAUGCGGAGGAACACCGAUGGCGAAGGCAAUCCCCUGGGCCUGCACUGACGCUCAUGCACGAAAGCGUGGGGAGCAAACA
rnacentral:rRNA from 1 species